GCGCGAAUGGCGGAAUUGGCAGACGCGGCCGGCUCAAACCCGGUCUACCUAAGGGUUCGAGUCCCUUUUCGCGCACCA
rnacentral:tRNA from 1 species